rnacentral:rRNA from 1 species
CCUACGGGUGGCUGCAGUGAGGAAUAUUGGUCAAUGGGCGGAAGCCUGAACCAGCCAAGUCGCGUGAGGGAAUAAGGCCCUACGGGUCGUAAACCUCUUUUGCCGGGGAGCAAGGGCCGGGACGCGUCCCGGCCCGGAGAGUACCCGGAGAAAAAGCAUCGGCUAACUCCGUGCCAGCAGCCGCGGUAAUACGGAGGAUGCGAGCGUUAUCCGGAUUUACUGGGUGUAAAGGGAGCGUAGGCGGUAAGGCAAGUCUGAUGUGAAAGGCCAGGGCUCAACCCUGGGACUGCAUUGGAAACUGUUUAACUGGAGUGUCGGAGAGGCAAGUGGAAUUCCUAGUGUAGCGGUGAAAUGCGUAGAUAUUAGGAGGAACACCAGUGGCGAAGGCGGCUUGCUGGACGAUGACUGACGCUGAGGCUCGAAAGCGUGGGGAGUAAACAGGAUUAGAUACCCCUGUAGUC